rnacentral:tRNA from 1 species
GCUUUCCGAUCGAACGGAAUCGUUCGAUCGAUCAGAAUUCGCUCCCAAGCGAGAAUCUGGAGCGCUAUCCGAUCCAAUCGGAUCGGAUAGCGC